UUCAGCUGAAAAAAAAAAAAUAAUAAUAAUAAAAAGUGGGGAACUACCUUAAAAAAAAAAAAAAAAAAAAGGAAAAAUAUUUAUAAUGCGUGUACAAGAACACAAGGAAGAAACUCAGAUGAUGAGGAAGCUACAAAGGCAGAUAGAUGCAAGUAGGAACGCAGCAGAUAGCUAACUUACAAAAAGCACAAUAAUCAUCUGGGAUGCAGUGCAAGUGGUAAAUAACAGUAUAAUAAAGAACAAAUGAUUAUAAAUGCUUUGCUUCUUCCCCUCAUUGCCAGGAUAAGUAAAUAUGCACAGAUAUGCCAACUUUUUCUGUCCAUAUGUUUUUACAAGUGUUUUUUUUCUUGUUGGUUUUUUAUGUGGAAGAGAUGUUUUUCCAUGAUGUGAUCUGAUUUUUAUAUUACUGUAUGUGACUUUAAUCUAAGAUCUGAUUAUUUCUGGGAAAAGAGAAACGAUUCGACUGAUCUGUGCACUUUGUGGAAACACAGAAGACAGUGUUGCUGGAUUCUUCUAUUACUCCUGUAAAGGGUUUUGCUAAAAGACUCUUAACUCUUUGAGAUUCACACCUUCCCUCUGCCACCCCUUGGAACUGGUCUGAUCUUUGUUCAUCCUUUUAAAUGGUGGAGGUGGUCUUUUGGCUCACAUGAAAGCUUGCUCCAUGUAGAUCACAUGUUUCUGCCAGGCCUGUUUAGCUCAUUGUAAUAAUAAACCACAAACGUGUUC